UACGGGGUGGGCAAGCGUUGUUCGGAAUUACUGGGCGUAAAGGGCUCGUAGGCGGCCAACUAAGUCGGACGUGAAAUCCCUCGGCUUAACCGGGGAACUGCGUCCGAUACUGGAUGGCUUGAGUCCGGGAGGGGAUGGUGGAAUUCCCAGUGUAGCGGUGAAAUGCGUAGAUAUUGGGAAGAACACCGGUGGCGAAGGCGACCAUCUGGACCGGAACUGACGCUGAGGCGCGAAAGCCAGGGGAGCGAAUGGG
rnacentral:rRNA from 1 species